AUACGGAGGAUGCAAGCGUUAUCCGGAUUUAUUGGGUUUAAAGGGUGCGUAGGCGGACAGUUAAGUCAGUUGUGAAAGUUUGCGGCUCAACCGUAAAAUUGCAGUUGAUACUGGUUGUCUUGAGUACAGUAGAGGUGGGCGGAAUUCGUGGUGUAGCGGUGAAAUGCUUAGAUAUCACGAAGAACUCCGAUUGCGAAGGCAGCUAACUGGACUGCAACUGACACUGAUGCUCGAAAGUGUGGGUAGCAAACAGGAUUAGAUACCCUGGUAGUCCACACAGUAAACGAUGAAUACUCGCUGUUUGCGAUAUACAGUAAGCGGCCAAGCGAAAGCAUUAAGUAUUCCACCUGGGGAGUACGCCGGCAACGGUGAAACUCAAAGGAAUUGACGGGG
rnacentral:rRNA from 1 species